ensembl:miRNA
AGCGUCCGGGCUGGGCCGCAGGACCGGGCGCGGAGCCUCGCAGGAUCGGUCUCGGGCUCCCCAACCGCCUCCGCUUCUUUCGCCAGUCGGUGGCCGGGCUGGCGGCGCGG